rnacentral:tRNA from 1 species
GAUAUUGCAUUUUCUUUGUUUUCUUUGAACCACUUAUAAAAAAAAGGAGAAUUACUAGUAAAUGAAGUAAAAC